GAGGCUGAAGUGGGUCAGGCUGCUUUGCACCCCGGGCUCCAGGCAGGGGGUGGGGCGACUGGCGCCCAACGGUGACCUGUCCUGCGACAUCAGGUCCACAAACUCCUUGCAAAUCUCCCUGAAGACAUGAAAUGAGAGAGGUGAUUGAACCGCUUGAAGAUCUCGGCAGAUCAAGAACUCACUUGGUGGCCAGCAGCAUACUGCGUCGUGUGGGCAGCUGAUCUGGGUCGGAUUGUCUGCACAGAUACUCUGCUGUGGCCCGGGCGGGGAACUCGGUUUCGCACACGUACCCGAAGUCCCGUGCGAGAUGAACCGCCUCACCUGAGAAGAGAGCGUGAAGAUUGGAAAAUGGAACUUGAAUGUGCUGACUGAAAGCUUGAGUACCUUCCACCAGCGCUGUGAGGAGUGUGACGUUGGCUGCCUUUCGCCGACCAGCAGGCAGGUUGAGGCCGAUCUUCUCCAGACGUUCUCGCAGACAGCGGCCUCCGUUUUUUGACUUGGCUCUGAAGGAGAACAGGACUCCUCCGAGCAGCGAGGCAUUGAGGCACUCAGGUGGGGCCAGGCGUCUCUGCACUUCUCCAACUGUGACCUUGUACUUAGAGGUGGAGCUGAGGAGCGACAAGCGGCCCGGGACAGAGCAGAAAACCUCUGCG